ACCCUGGCUCUAGGAGUUUCAUAUGUAAUGUUUUUUCCUCCUCUAUCGUCUCAAACACCCUUCAUCUAUGGUAAAAUGAGUGUGUAAGAACACGCGGUGAUACACGAUAGGGGUAGAAGAGAAAUUUUUCUCUUUUUUUCUUUCUUUCUUUUUUUUUUUUUUUUUAACUCAGCGAAGUUGAUGAUUUAAAUACUGUUGUUGCUUUGGUAUUUCCUGGGAAAAUCGAAGUCGCAAUUCAUUAAGCGAUAGUGGUGGGAUGCGUGGAUUGGGGUUUGAAGUCUUUUCUCUGUUAUUGAGUAGCUGCU
rnacentral:sRNA from 2 species